rnacentral:rRNA from 1 species
UACGUAGGCAGCGAGCGUUGUUCGGAGUUCCUGGGCGUAAAGGGUGUGUAGGCGGUUGUUUAAGUUUGGUGUGAAAUCUCCCGGCUCAACUGGGAGGGUGCGCCGAAUACUGAAUGACUAGAGUGUGGGAGAGGUGAGUGGAAUUCCUGGUGUAGCGGUGAAAUGCGCAGAUAUCAGGAGGAACACCAAUUGCGAAGGCAGCUCGCUGGAACGUAACUGACGCUGAGACGCGAAAGCGUGGGGAGCAAACAGG